AUAUCAUUGAAGUGAGAUCGACGGAGCUGACGUCCUGGAUUGAGUGCGAAUCAUUUUUACAGUUUGUUCAAGCUCGUGAAGAAAUAUAAGCUACAAUGAAGGGUUACGGCUGUCUGAUUCUGGUCCUUUGCCUGACCGGCGCCUUUGCCAUGGCAGUUCGCCAAAAGAGAUCGUUUGAAGAUUGGAAUGACUAUCGUGAACACAGCG